rnacentral:rRNA from 1 species
UACGAAGGGGGCUAGCGUUGCUCGGAAUGACUGGGCGUAAAGGGCGCGUAGGCUGUUUGUACAGUUAGGUGUGAAAUUCCCGGGCUCAACCUGGGGGCUGCACUUGAUACGUAUGGACUGGAGUGGGGAAGAGGGUCGUGGAAUUCCCAGUGUAGAGGUGAAAUUCGUAGAUAUUGGGAAGAACACCGGUGGCGAAGGCGGCGACCUGGUCCUUGACUGACGCUGAGGCGCGAAAGCGUGGGGAGCAAACAGG